rnacentral:rRNA from 1 species
UUAAGUAGACCGCCUGGGGAGUACGGUCGCAAGAUUAAAACUCAAAUGAAUUGACGGGGGCCCGCACAAGCGGUGGAGCAUGUGGUUUAAUUCGAUGCAACGCGAAGAACCUUACCUACUCUUGACAUCUACAGGAUCCUGCGGAGACGCGGGAGUGCCUUCGGGAACUGUAAGACAGGUGCUGCAUGGCUGUCGUCAGCUCGUGUUGUGAAAUGUUGGGUUAAGUCCCGCAACGAGCGCAACCCUUAUCCUUGUUUGCCAGCGAGUAAUGUCGGGAACUCCAGGGAGACUGCCGGUGAUAAACCGGAGGAAGGUGGGGACGACGUCAAGUCAUCAUGGCCCUUACGAGUAGGGCUACACACGUGCUACAAUGGCGCAUACAGAGGGCGGCGAGCUAGCGAUAGUGAGCGAAUCCCAAAAAGUGCGUCGUAGUCCGGAUUGGAGUCUGCAACUCGACUCCAUGAAGUCGGAAUCGCUAGUAAUCGUGGAUCAGAAUGCCACGGUGAAUACGUUCCCGGGCCUUGUACACACCGCCCGUCACACCAUGGGAGUGGGCUGCAAAAGAAGCAGGUAGUUUAACCUUCGGGAGGACGCUUGCCACUUUGUGGUUCAUGACUGGGGUGAAGUCGUAACAAGGUAACCACUUUCCC